UGUUCCAGAAAACGUAAGCUAAACGUUAACUAACGACCUCGCAAACCUAAUUACACCGAAUGUCUUGUGCUUUGUUUGGCAUGAAAAAUAUAGGGUAACUUAACGUUAAUAAUAACGUUAGCUAACACAGACAUGUUAUCCACAACGUUUAACAUUUAAAAGUUUACAUAGUCGUAGCUAACGUUAGCAUGGCUUAUCAGCAUAUUAGCAUCGCUUACUAGCACGUUAGCUAACGUUAAAUAGGUCACCCCAGGUUUGUUGACCAAGUUUAGCUGAAUAUGUGGAUGUAAAAUCAUAAACACCUUUCAAGAAAUAGUUUUCUAUAUUUAUGAUGAUACGAUAUCAGUUUAGUAGCAUCGUGGACGAGGUGGCCGAGUGGUUAAGGCGAUGGACUGCUAAUCCAUUGUGCUCUGCACGCGUGGGUUCGAAUCCCAUCCUCGUCGGCAGUUUUUAAUGCUUUUAUUUUUCAAUAAUCAACCAUUUGAUAUACGUGGUGAGUGAUUCACGUGGUUGUGUAUAUUUUAUUUAUCACUAUAUUUUGUGGUCCCCUUUGAUACAAAGCAAACAGCAGCAUAGCAUUUCUCUUUGGCAGACCAGCUGCUUAUGCAUCCAUAAUCAAUUUAUGUAUCGAUUUAUAUAGAUUACAUAAAGAAAAUUGCAAUCUCAAUCUUGCACCCUCCUUUACAGUCACACCCUGAAAUCUUUAAGACUGUCUUGUAUGUUUUUUGUAAAAUUACCAUAUUACAAACAGCCCCAACAUACUUUAAGCAAGCAUUAUGAUAUUAUUUUUUGUAUACCGUACACUUUAAACAAAGGCUUUCACAUCAUGGUCUUCUUUUAGUUUUAUUUCCAAAUAAUCCUAAUCUGCUUGAUAGCCUCUGUUGUGACAGCCUUCAGAAUAUAUGUCCAUGUGAUUCUCAGCAGAGCUCUCCUGGGAAUCGGAGGGACAUCGGACGUCUCCUAUUGCUCCAUAACGACUCCUGUCCAGGCUUGAAGAGAUGUGCAUCUCCUCUGCCUGUUCUUUCAUGACAUUGUCUGUGGCUUUGCUGCUUGUUGUCUGUUCUGUGAAGGGAGGUCUGUUUGAUGGCUGCUCUUCUUCCUCCUCACUGUCUUCUUCCUCCAGAGUUUCACCACUGGAGAAGUGGAUGAUCCUCCUCGGUUUGGUCAUGGCAGGAUCCCCAGAGUCGGUUUCCUGGAUGCCUAGUGAUGUCUACCAGAUAGGACAGGAAUAUACAUCAACUUUUUGUUUGCAUUCUCAUGAACGCAUUGUCCUUGUGGCUCAUUAUCUGCGUCCAUCAUGUUGUAAUUUUAUAGGCCUUUUAUACACAGACUGCAUCGGGCUCCAGAGUGAAGAUUCACCAAUGUCUGGUCACAACUUUCAAACAGCUGUUGAAAGUUAACUUACACCUUUGCUAGAGAGUUACUGAACACAACCUGAGCUAAUAUGUCUGUUUGUCUUGCUUCAUUGUCUUGCUUCACUUACUUCCUGGUAGCUGUUGUUCAUUCUUCAGGUACUGCAAGUCUUUCUUUAUCGCUCCAGUGCAGCACUGUUGACUUUUUCUCAGGCCACGGCUCUACUGUAUGUCCAUCCACGCUGACUCUCCUGUGUGGAGCAAAAAAACUACAGGACACAGGAUCAGUCUUGAAACCUGAGACGCCAGAUAGAGCAGAACAAACCUUAUCACAGGCAAGUAGUUAGACAGCUGCCACUGUAACGCAAUCAGUGUCAGUCUUGGGCUUGAGGGGCUGGGCUUGCGGUGUUGUGUGUAGAAUGUCACUUGAUUGACAGAACAUUGUUUAAUUAACUCAUUGGUAAAGUGUUUUAGUGUAUACUAAGUGCUACAUGUACAAGGGGCAGAAUGUAGUACAUAUUGUAUAGAUUUAGAACAUAUUUGGGACACGCUGCAUGUUUUUGAAACGCAGGCUCACUGUCUCCAAACUCGAACCAAGAUAACCCUGAUCACCAGGGUUAUUUUCUUAGGCUUGACAGAGCUCUGUCAGAGUAGUACUAACCAGUAAAUCUGAACUUUGUUUAGUAAAAUAGGUGGCGUUAACAUAAUAAUUACAACUUUAUGUGUAUAGCACUUACCUAAACAAGGUUACAAAGAUGAUUGGAUGAUGCUUACUGUAAUUUAAUAAUUGUAAUGACAUAUGUAAGCACAAGAAGAAUGGAGUUUUAUGGAUGAUUUAAUAGCGUUUGAAGUACAUUUUACAUGAAAGACACCAUCAGAGGAGGAAUAAUGAGCUACAGGAGUUUACACUGCCGUGGUGAUCUGACACACCCUUUUAAUAAACAGUUGCCUUGAAGACCAUAAAA